CCCGAGAGGAGCAACUGAUAUCACUAUAGUAAGGAAUUUUACACUUUGUAGGUCGGAGAUAAAUACUCCAAAGACCACUACAACACUCAAAAGAAAUAACCCUCUUUUGAUAUUCUCACCUCACUACAAUAUCGCCCACUCUCUGUUUUCCUCACAGACUAUUUUCUUAUACCUUGUCUGUGAAACAUCACUCUUUCUUUCUCUCUUUGUUGGUGUGUAGAAAUGAGAGUUGAAGCUCUCCUUUUAUAGCCAAAGCUUCACUCUCUAAAGCCUACCAUAUUUGACAAUUUACACACACUUUUCACAAUUCAACAAAGUUGGCUACCAAACCAAAGAAAUUCAACAAAGUUGGCUACCAAACCAAACUAAUUCAACAAGGUUGGCUACCAACCAAACCAAGUCAACAAGGUUGGCUACCAAACCAAAGAAAACUUUUAUUAGGCACAUGUCUAAU
rnacentral:lncRNA from 1 species